AGGUUUUCUGGAUUCUAUGCAAAAGAGUGUAUUCGUGAUUUUCGUGCCGCUGUUCCUCUGCAUAUUGUUUAUAGUUAUUUUAACGUUGUGUCCUUCUAUAGCUGUAUUACCUUAAGCUUAACACAGAGUGGCAGUGGUGUGGUUUCUUUGUUGUUGGUUUUCUUGCAAUUAAAUCAGUUUGAGCUUGAAGACUGUCUAUACUGAACAAGUUGGGCAGACGUUUGGAGAGUUAAACAUUGUGCUCUGAGGUAAAUAUAAUCAGUUAAAGGCUUCGAGGAAUCAGAUGAUAUGGAAGUACUUUCUAGAGCAAUUCAAUCAGGAACAGUUUAUGUCUUUUCACAAAAAUACUAUUGCAAUUGAUGUAAUAUAUGGUAUUUUAUCAGUUUGAUCGAUAAUAAAGUCAUUUUCAAUUA